rnacentral:rRNA from 1 species
AUUGAACGCUGGCGGCAGGCCUAACACAUGCAAGUCGAGCGGAGCGGCGGACGGGUGAGUAAUGCCUAGGAAUCUGCCUGGUAGUGGGGGAUAACGUCCGGAAACGGGCGCUAAUACCGCAUACUAUCAGAUCAGCCUAGGUCGGAUUAGCUAGUUGGUGGGGUAAAGGCCUACCACGCCGACGAUCCGUAACUGGUCUGAGAGGAUGAUCAGUCACACUGGGACUGAGACACGGUCCAGACUCCGACGGGAGGCAGCAGUGGGGAAUAUUAGACAAUGGACGAAAGCCUGGUCCAGCCAUGCCGCGUGUGUGAAGAAGGUCUUCGGAUCGUAAAGCACUUUAAGUUGGGAGGCGGUACCAACCGAGUAAGCACCGGCUAACUUCGUGCCAGCAGCCGCGGUAAUAC